GCUGGGUGUGGUGAUGCGUACCUGUAGUCCCAGCUACUUGGGAGGUUGAGGCAGGAGAAUCGCUUGAGCUCAGGAGGUUGAGGCUGCAGUGAGCCAUGAUCAUGCCACUGUACUCCAGCCUGGGUGACAGAGUGAGACCUUGCCUCAA
ensembl:misc_RNA Metazoa_SRP Metazoan signal recognition particle RNA